GAUGAACGCUGGCGGCGUGCCUAAUACAUGCAAGUAGAACGCUGAAGGAAGGAGCUUGCUCUUUCCGGAUGAGUUGCGAACGGGUGAGUAACGCGUAGGUAACCUGCCUGGUAGCGGGGGAUAACUAUUGGAAACGAUAGCUAAUACCGCAUAACAGUAGAUGUUGCAUGAUACCUAAUUAAAAGGUGGAAUUGCACCACUACCAGAUGGACCUGCGUUGUAUUAGCUAGGUGGUGAGGUAACGGCUCACCAAGGCGACGAUACAUAGCCGACCUGAGAGGGUGGUCCGCCACCCCGGGACCGAGACCCCGCCCCGAACCCCACGGGAGGCAGCCAGAGGGGAACUUUCGCCAUGGACCGAAGUCCUACCGAGCCACCCCGCGUGGGUGAAGGAGGUUCUCGGAUCGUUAAGCUCCGUUGUAAAAGAAGAAAGAGUGUGAUAGUGGAAAGUUCACACUGUGACGGUAUCUUACCAGAAAGGCACGGCUAACUACGUG
rnacentral:rRNA from 1 species